GCAGAAACAGGAUGAAAAGCUGCAUAGCUGUUUCCUAAGCUGGAGGUAGGAAACCAGCUGCACUGAGUGCCUGGGAUGUGCUGCGCAGAGAGGGGGUGCAGGGAGAAGCUGCACAUCCCCCUUGCUUGGGGUUAAAAUCUGCUGCCUGCUGAUCACAGAGAUUGGCAAACAGGAGAGAUCCAAAGAACAGCUACAGAACUUGCUAAUACUGAAGAAAUGAUUAUGUGGAGGCAAUAUGAGGAAACUCAUCCCUCAUGAUUUAAAAUAGAUUUAUUUAUCAGAAGCGUGCUUAUAAAUGACUAUUCCCUGUUGACCUGUUCAAAGUUAGUAAGUGAUGAGUAUAGUACUGAUGCAUACUCAGAAAGCUAAGGCAUUAUAUGAUGAAUUAUGAUUUUUUUUUCAGAACAUGUGAUUGUGAAGCUAACGAGCAACCCACACUGGUCACACAUGUCAGUCUGUUCCCUGACACAUCCUCUUUGCCACCAGAGCACUGGAACUGGGUGUGAUGGCAAGGAAAUAA